GAUGAACGCUGGCGGCGUGCCUAAUACAUGCAAGUCGAGCGAACAGACGAGGAGCUUGCUCCUCUGACGUUAGCGGCGGACGGGUGAGUAACACGUGGAUAACCUACCUAUAAGACUGGGAUAACUUCGGGAAACCGGAGCUAAUACCGGAUAAUAUAUUGAACCGCAUGGAUCAAUAGUGAAAGACGGUUUUGCUGUCACUUAUAGAUGGAUCCGCGCCGCAUUAGCUAGUUGGUAAGGUAACGGCUUACCAAGGCAACGAUGCGUAGCCGACCUGAGAGGGUGAUCGGCCACACUGGAACUGAGACACGGUCCAGACUCCUACGGGAGGCAGCAGUGGGGAAUCUUCCGCAAUGGGCGAAAGCCUGACGGAGCCACGCCGCGUGAGUGAUGAAGGUCUUCGGAUCGUAAAACUCUGUUAUUAGGGAAGAACAAAUGUGUAAGUAACUAUGCACGUCUUGACGGUACCUAAUCAGAAAGCCACGGCUAACUACGUG
rnacentral:rRNA from 1 species